rnacentral:rRNA from 1 species
AACGAACGCUGGCGGCAUGCCUAACACAUGCAAGUCGAACGAGAUCUUCGGGUCUAGUGGCGCACGGGUGCGUAACGCGUGGGAAUCUGCCCUUUGGUUCGGAAUAACAGUUGGAAACGACUGCUAAUACCGGAUGAUGACGAAAGUCCAAAGAUUUAUCGCCAGGGGAUGAGCCCGCGUAGGAUUAGCUAGUUGGUGUGGUAAAGGCGCACCAAGGCGACGAUCCUUAGCUGGUCUGAGAGGAUGAUCAGCCACACUGGGGCUGAGACACGGCCCAGACUCCUACGGGAGGCAGCAGUGGGGAAUAUUGGACAAUGGGCGAAAGCCUGAUCCAGCAAUGCCGCGUGAGUGAUGAAGGCCUUAGGGUUGUAAAGCUCUUUUACCCGGGAUGAUAAUGACAGUACCGGGAGAAUAAGCUCCGGCUAACUCCGUGCCAGCCGCCGCCGUAG